UUAAGGUCUCUAAAGGGUUGUUGAAGACUACAACGUUGAUAGGUCAGGUGUGUAAGUGCUGCGAGGCAUUGAGCUAACUGAUACUAAUUGCCCGUGAGGCUUAACCAUACAACACCCAAGGGGUUU
rnacentral:rRNA from 2 species